AAUAUUGCUCAAUGCCAUUUGUGUGCUUCUCAUUGGUCACUUCUAAAAAGUUUUCUCCCUCCAACCUCUUCAAUACCAUUUUCAUUCUCUCUCUUCCAUUUUCUCUCGUCACCCUCUCUCUUCUCCACUAAACCCUAUCCGCCGUCGGCCGUUUCUCCGGCCACCACCACCUUAAAUGAAAAUAUUAUGCCCAUUUUCGUAUUUCUCGUCUCACGGGUGUCACAAUGAACCGAUUAGAUUUUUAUUUCGAGCGAUCUCGCCGUCGACCGCCGCCUCUGCUUCUCCGACAAUCACUACUCAUCAUUGCCGUCGUCAUCACCAUCACCACAACUGUUUAAGUUUUUCAUCUUUUAAUUUUUAAAAAUCAUCGUUUAUUGGUUUACAGUGCACUGAAGCGUGAACUCAAAUACACAAAAAAGGACGACGAGAUCUACAAAAAGGAAGAGGAGAAAGCCAGAAAGGUAUCUCUCAUAAUGGUUUCAACACAGACGCCUAAACACUAGCCCAAAACAGAUUGAAGAUGCCAUUGAACUUGCAUUAGCCCAACACAGACGCCUAAACACUAGAUCCACUUGCAUUAGCCUAACACUAGAGUUGAUGCUCAAGCAAAUGUGGUCAUAUAUCUCAAAGGUUAGACUUUAAGACUUUAUUCAGUUCCCUAUAGGUUUCAAUGAAUGUAUGAUUCUAUGAUUUUCCUAAGAUUUUAGAACUCCAUUCAGUUGCAACCAAAGCUACUUUGAAAUCAAAAAGAAUCUUUGGUUUGUAUUGGGUAAUUAUGUGUUUUGGCAGGGGAAAUUCUAUGAAAGCAGCACCUAUAUUGGAAACUGAGUGAAGAUGUCUGCAACAAAGCUCCUGGUGGAAACUUAUCUAUCAACAUCCCUGCCUCUACUCCAAUAUACAGGGUAUGCUGUCAUUCAUGGAGACUUUAAAAAUUGCAUCUGAACUUUUUCUUUCAGGAUUUUUUGUUCUGUUUCUAAUAUGGUUUUUUAAAGCUAUCAGUGGUUGAAGGAAAGACUUUUUUAUAGGUUAGUCUAUUGAUUUUAGAAAAUUCUGCAUAAUGCUUGUUGAAUUUUGUGCUCCCUUUGUCGAAGCAUCUAUAUUUUGCAUAUUUGGAUCCUGUUUUUGUUAUUUUCUGAAACACUGGAUUUACCUAUCGGACCCUUGAAUGCUGGAAGUGUUGAACAGAUUCAAACUGCUGUUUUUGGCGAAAGAUUCAAACUACUCAUCAAGGUUCGUGUUCUAAUUUUUUUCAUUUUGUUGCCAUCAAGAAGGUUCUCCAGGACAAGCAUUACAAGAAUAGAGAGUUACAGAUUAUGCAAAUGCUGGACCUUCCAAAUAUGUUGGAUUGGUGAUUAGAUUAAUUGCCUUAUUGUGACUCUGGUUUUUACAGAUUAUGUUAGUAUUAUGUUAGAUUGAAUGAAUGUAAAUCAUGGUGAAUUUUACUGAAUCGUUCUUUCGUGUGUAUGUUUAUCUUUUUGCAUCCACUAAAAUUUAAAUUUGGUAUUUUGCUUCCGGCAUCCACUUUCGUAGAGAAAUGAGUUGUAUUUUUCUCUCUAGCUGUCAUAAUCGGGAUUAAUUUUUGAAAAUAUGUAUAUAUAAAGAUUAUUCUUUUAUUACUGGAUGUGCAGCAUGGUUUAGUGAUGAUGUUAUGGUCAUGUUCAUGGUCUGGUUCGUCAACAUAUGAUAUCGGUGCUUCUUACAAUUUGGAGGAAUCUAUGUGUUCACAAUGACAAUAUCUUCCAAUCUGUUUUUUCUAUAGCAGACAAUUAUGUCGUAUGAGAGUGGUUGGUCUGCUGCUCCUUAUGAUUAAGUUAUUUAGAAUAUAGCUAUGAAACACCUAUUGCAAGAAGAAAAACAAAGGAUCCCACCAGUUUUAGGUGAGCUGAAUGAUCCAAUGGAAGAUAUUGAAGAAAUCUCAGGCAUAAGUGGUGUGAAAUGAUGUGCAUAUUGUGGCAGGCUUGGUAUGUACCAAUUUUCUUUGAACGCUGCUGGACUAUGUAUGAUAGAUUUGUAACCUUCAAAUUUCUGUCAUGAAGUUUAGUGAAUUUCAUUACCUGUACUGUUGCCUUGGUAAAAUUAUGAUUGAAUUGUAUUCUGUUAUAAUUAUUCGGACUGAAUUAUAUAUUAAUUUUCAUCUGGAUGAUUCAUUCAUUCAUGUAAUGAUAAUACAAAUUAAACUACUAAAUCUACAUAUUUUUAGUCACAUCUCUAUCAAAAUGACAAUGUGUAAAGUCAUGUUUUUAUAACAUAUGCUUCUUAUAUGGUCUUAGAUCUCACUAUUAUCUAAAUACUGCACUAAAUAUACUAUGAGUCAAAUAGACUAAUUUGACAGUUUAUUCUUAAAUUUCCUUUCACUCAUAUAAGUUAUUUUUG